GGUGUGGCUUGUGAGAGGUGCUUGCUAGAGCCCGGAUUCCAUGUCCAGGAACAGACAAGUACGCGGAAGGCUGCCUGGCUCCUGGCUGUGCAGAGGAGGCAACCACAGCAUCCCUAAGGCAAGAUAACAUCUGCAGAGGACAAUCUGAAGAAUGUGGGUGUAUCGAGAGGGAGAAGGACUUGUUCUCCACUAGCUUGUUCCCUACCCACUGCAGUUCCUGUCCCAUCAAACACACACCAUCCCUUCUGCUGAGUGCCUCGCAGGCUAGGAAAAGUGAGUCAGCUGCAGAGAUUGUGUGUUUGUCCCCUAGAGGCGGGUUCCUCCCAGUCCCCUUGCACCUUGAAUAUUGUCUACUUUCAUUCCCCACCAUUCUCCUCCUCAGGUAUCCAGGGGUCUGAUCAGCCCCUGGCAGUUCUUUCAUGUUUGUAGCCACUUGUACUUCUCCUUCUGAGAAAUGUCUACUCAUUUCAGUUGCUCAAUUUUUGAUUGUUUCUUUUUAUGUUGGGAGGUGUAAUUAAAAAAGAUCUUUAUUUAUUCUAGAUGUGAGUCCUCUGUCUGAGGGACUUCAUUUGUCUUUUGAGGAAAGCAGCUGGAUCCGAUUUGUUGAGGACUGUCCCACCCCACCCCCCGGUCAGGCCUCUGGCCUAGGACUCUGGUAACAACUGCUCUUC
rnacentral:lncRNA from 1 species